rnacentral:rRNA from 1 species
UACAGAGACUGCAAGCGUUAUUCGGAUUCACUGGGCGUAAAGGGUGCGUAGGCGGCUUUGUAAGUCAGUGGUGAAAUAUGGCAGCUCAACUGUCAGGGUGCCAUUGAUACUGCGGAGCUUGAGUACAGAUGAGGUAGGCGGAAUUGACGGUGUAGCGGUGAAAUGCUUAGAUAUCGUCAAGAACACCGAUAGCGAAGGCAGCUUACUAGGCUGUAACUGACGCUGAGGCACGAAAGUGUGGGGAUCAAACAGG